UGUCAGUGAUCCCUCUCCUCGCCGUCCGAGGAGGGAUUCCACUCAACCGUCCAACCCGGAGGGAGUUGGGGCGGCCAAGUGCCAACAGAAGAAGGCUCGGGAGCAGCAAUUUCACCUGAAAAGAAAAGCCACAACAAGGCUGAGCUACUAAGCUCAACAAGACUUAACCGACCGGGAGUAAAGCUACUCCACCACUGCUAGACAUGCAAGGCUCUUUGGCUGAGGGG
rnacentral:lncRNA from 1 species